GUCAUGUCUGCUAGGCAGGCAGGCUAAAGACAGCCAGAGUGAGUCAACAUACUACACGACUGUCUUGUCUGUAGCUACAAAAAAACUAGCAAAAAGGCUCAAACUUUAGAGCGUCUCUUUGACGGAAGCGAUACUCUGCGCAGUUUCAUCAAGUAGGUUAUUAUGUUGCACAGGCUGUUGUCUGAGUGGCGCAAAACUCUUAUUUUUAAGACGCAAUCAUGUUUAUCACAAGUUACUGGUAUGUUAUGUGUGCUGAUUACAAACCAGCAUUUCACAAUAAAACAUAAUGUUACGACACUGCUAAUAAAUAAUAAGACAUUCGCACAAGUAGGCUGCGUUUUCGUACACCAUAACUGUAAUAUGUGAUUGCAGAAGACCUAUUUGCAGGUCCAUAACAUUAUGGUACAUUUUAGCUGUGUGUGUGGGUGGGUGGCUUUAGCAUAAUAAAUAGGGAGUUUCCAGGGUUGGGUAGGUUACAUGUAGUCAGUUACUCCCCAACUCUUGGGGUUUCCACUUCUGCCUCCCAAUGAUGACGUUAUAGGCCUAUUGUAUUGGCAAGGAGAGAGAUUUUAACAGCUGAAAUUGUAUCUCGUAACCCUCACUUCUCCCCUUUAUUUUGGCAUCAUUUUAUUUUAAGGGCUUUACAUAAAUCACACUUAACAUAAUUCCCACAUAGGGAUUAAAUGACACAUUUAAAAGUGCAUGUAAACUGAGUAACUGUUAUUGUGAAUGCAUCACGUUCAAUGUCAAUAGGGUUAUGUUGAUCCAUUUAGAAUGUUAACCUCUAACCUGGACACUAGUUCACUUUCACCUGUAUGAUGUCUGGUUUUUCAAAUGAACAGCUACAGAAAAGUGGGAGAGUUUCUUGUGUUGAUGCCGGACAAGUCCACUAUACCUGACUCCAUCACAUGCAUCCUAUGGAAGCAUGGCUUGAACAAGACAGCAGAGUUUGACAAGGAUUUUGGGCUGUACACCUAUGGUGGCUUCGAACGUGGCACAACCAUGGACCAGGCUACUGGAGAGCUGAGAAUCACCAGUUUGAUGAAAACAGACAAUGGCGUUUGUUCUGUGGAGUUUAACAGCAUACUGCUUGACCAGACAUAUACACUGUCUGUUUUCAGUAAGCGUGUGUGUAUGUGUGUACGACACAGUAUCACAACCUGAAGUCACCUGUGAAUGGAACAGUACCAUGGCAACACUUUGCUGCAGUGCUGAGUGUCCGCUGGUGGUGUACCGUUGGUCUUGGCCUGAGCACCAGGGGGAGAUGUGGAGCCAGCUGGUGCUGUGAUUGGUGUCUUGGCUUCUGAUCUAUUGGCUGUUCAUCCAUGUUUCUCAUCUGCUGGAAGUGUUCCGAAGUAACCAAGGCAAAGUGAAUGGAGAUUCUGAGAGAAGUGACCCCCAGGUGAUACUCUCCAACCCAGCUCCAACAUCCCUGGUUCUCUAGUUAUGAUACGCAAAGUUUUUAUUUAACCUUUAUUCAACCAGGCAAGUCAGAUAAGAAUAAAUUCUUAUUUACAA